GGAUGAGAGGGUGAUCUGACAGAGACAGCUGUCAUCCGUCAUCCUGUUGACCUUCAAGGUUAAUUCACCUGAUCUGGCUGGCUGACUAAGGGUCAUCUCCAUCCACCCUCACUACCCCAUAGGCAUCCCCUUGAAACUCCUUGAUGAUAAUAAAGAAAGGAAAAGAGAAUCCUUCUUUCAGCAGGGAUGGCUAUUCAUUCUUUCAGUAAAUGUUUAUUGAGCUUCUACCAUAUCAACUACUGUCUGAGAUUCACUUGGAAUCAACA
rnacentral:snRNA from 1 species